GAUGAAGAACGUAGCGAAAUGCGAUAAGUAAUGUGAAUUGCAGAAUUCAGUGAAUCAUCGAAUCUUUGAACGCACAUUGCGCCCCUUGGUAUUCCGAGGGGCAUGCCUGUUCGAUCGUCAUAUUAACCACUCCCGCUUGCGGGGUCUUGGGCUUCGCCUCCGGGCGGGCCUUAAAAUCAGUGGCGGUGCCGUCGGGCUCUACGCGUAGUAAAUUUUCUCGCGAUAGGGUCCCGGUGGAUGCUUGCCAACAACCCCCAACUUCUUAAGGUUGACCUCGGAUCAGGUAGGGAUACCCGCUGAACUUAAGCAUAUCAAUAAGCGGAGGA
rnacentral:misc_RNA from 1 species